rnacentral:rRNA from 1 species
UGCAGUCGAACGAGUUCUGAUGUAUUGAAAGGUGCUUGCAUCUUGAUUUAAUUUUGAACGAGUGGCGGACGGGUGAGUAACACGUGGGUAACCUGCCCUUAAGUGGGGGAUAACAUUUGGAAACAGAUGCUAAUACCGCAUAAAUCCAAGAACCGCAUGGUUCUUGGCUGAAAGAUGGCGUAAGCUAUCGCUUUUGGAUGGACCCGCGGCGUAUUAGCUAGUUGGUGAGGUAACGGCUCACCAAGGCAAUGAUACGUAGCCGAACUGAGAGGUUGAUCGGCCACAUUGGGACUGAGACACGGCCCAAACUCCUACGGGAGGCAGCAGUAGGGAAUCUUCCACAAUGGACGCAAGUCUGAUGGAGCAACGCCGCGUGAGUGAAGAAGGCUUUCGGGUCGUAAAACUCUGUUGUUGGAGAAGAAUGGUCGGCAGAGUAACUGUUGUCGGCGUGACGGUAUCCAACCAGAAAGCCACGGCUAACUACGUGCCAGCAGCCGCGGUAAUACGUAGGUGGCAAGCGUUAUCCGGAUUUAUUGGGCGUAAAGCGAGCGCAGGCGGUUUUUUAAGUCUGAUGUGAAAGCCCUCGGCUUAACCGAGGAAGUGCAUCGGAAACUGGGAAACUUGAGUGCAGAAGAGGACAGUGGAACUCCAUGUGUAGCGGUGAAAUGCGUAGAUAUAUGGAAGAACACCAGUGGCGAAGGCGGCUGUCUGGUCUGUAACUGACGCUGAGGCUCGAAAGCAUGGGUAGCGAACAGGAUUAGAUACCCUGGUAGUCCAUGCCGUAAACGAUGAAUGCUAGGUGUUGGAGGGUUUCCGCCCUUCAGUGCCGCAGCUAACGCAUUAAGCAUUCCGCCUGGGGAGUACGACCGCAAGGUUGAAACUCAAAGGAAUUGACGGGGGCCCGCACAAGCGGUGGAGCAUGUGGUUUAAUUCGAAGCAACGCGAAGAACCUUACCAGGUCUUGACAUCUUUUGAUCACCUGAGAGAUCAGGUUUCCCCUUCGGGGGCAAAAUGACAGGUGGUGCAUGGUUGUCGUCAGCUCGUGUCGUGAGAUGUUGGGUUAAGUCCCGCAACGAGCGCAACCCUUAUGACUAGUUGCCAGCAUUUAGUUGGGCACUCUAGUAAGACUGCCGGUGACAAACCGGAGGAAGGUGGGGAUGACGUCAAAUCAUCAUGCCCCUUAUGACCUGGGCUACACACGUGCUACAAUGGAUGGUACAACGAGUUGCGAGACCGCGAGGUCAAGCUAAUCUCUUAAAGCCAUUCUCAGUUCGGACUGUAGGCUGCAACUCGCCUACACGAAGUCGGAAUCGCUAGUAAUCGCGGAUCAGCACGCCGCGGUGAAUACGUUCCCGGGCCUUGUACACACCGCCCGUCACACCAUGAGAGUUUGUAACACCCGAAGCCGG